UGAAUGGUGAUGAGGCUUUGUAAGGAAAGGAGUUUUUGAUGGAAAAGAAUUUUGAUUUGAUUUGGUCAAGGUAGACAUUGAGGGUUGGUUUGGGUACGUUGGGGGUUGGUCAUGGGUGUCUCUGUUAUGCUUAAUAAUCAGAAGCUCAAUCACCCUCCGCCUUGUUAUGCCGCUCGACGUUUCAUUCCUCUCUCUUCAAGUCUUAUUAGGCAUCCCAACAAAAAUGGAUUUUUCCUUAGAAGAAAAAGAAAGAAAAACCUAAUGACCGCAUUUCAAUCUCUCUAUCUCGAUACCAUGAACCUAAAGAGCUAAGUCCUUUGCUUAGGAAAAACUAAUAACUUAAUCACUUAAUCCGUUCCCAAUUUCUCUAAAUUCCUAAUUUUUUCUCUUGACAGAUUAAGAAUUCCUCCUUUCCACUGUAAAACCCUUUCCUUUUUUAGCACUGUAAUGGCUUCACGAGGACGACCUAAAAAGAUUCAAGCUUGUCGUCUCAACACCAGAGCCUAAGAGAAUCACAUCCCCUACUAUCAUAAACAUUCAAGUUCUCAUCUUUUCACUUUCAUAGGCAAUACUUGACUGUAAUGAAUUGUAAUAUAUUGCAUUAACGUGUUCAAGUUCCAAUUUCUGGUUCUUUAGAUGUCCAAAUUUUUU